rnacentral:lncRNA from 1 species
AUGACCUGCAAGCUGGAGUUCUAACUUAAGCUCUACAUUGUCUUCUUUCCCCUUGGAUGUCAAGGAAAUGAACUGGUGAAUGAUGAUGCACCUUUGAAAUUUGAUGUUGCUUGUUUUAUCUUGCUAACAAAGCUUAUCUCAUCAACUAACAGAUUUCCGGCAUUUAAUGAAAGAUUCUAGCAUGCACCUCACUGAUGUUUCAUUGCCUUAGACAUGUAAUAAGUACAUGAUGGUUCAUUUUGGUCUUAUCUAUGCUUGAGAAUUUAAAUGACUAAAGUCUAUGUUAUGCUAAUUAAUAGUUUAAAUGAACAAUUUUGUUCUUGCUCACAAUGGGGAAUGUAUCAUCACGACAUGACCAAAUUGAUUCUGGAAUAGACUGGAGUGCUGGGUCAAACAGAAUAGUAGCAGUGUCCCAUGAUCGAAAUUCGUGAGCACCUAAUGCAGUCUUUGUUCUUAUGUAAAAUUACCUAAUUGGAACCACCUUGUGUUCUACCUCCUUUCUGCAUAUUUUCGAGUAUCUAAUGCAGUUUUUGUUCUUAUGUAGAUAUGUAUGGAAUCAUGAAGGAUCAGAGUGGGUGCCUACCUUAGUUAUCCUCAAGCUAAACUGAGCUGCGCUUUGCCUUCAAUGGAGCCCAAAAGGUAUGUAGAAUCAUUGAGUUUGAAGACAGGAUGAUGUUGAAUGUUGCCUGUCAAAGGCUUCUUAGAGUAUUUGCAUUGUAUUGAAGAAGAAUAAAAUUCUGUUGAAAUUGCUAGAAGAAUUUGGUUUGGUCAGUUGUUCUUAAAAUGGCACUUGAGCUGUUAGACUCCAGGGAGCCAUUUACAAAUGUGAAGUAUCAAUAAGUUUCUGCGUGAAUUAUAAUUCCUCUAAUAGGUUUAUUCUUCAUCUUUCAUAAUAUAGUUAAAAAAUUGCGUAUAGUUUUAUCUUUUGUUCUGACCUUGCAGUUUAGCUGGUUGUGGUUCUUUUUUUCUCUAUAAGUAAAGACAAAUUCACAAUGAGUCUUCAAGGGUGCCGGCCUAUAUAUAAAAAGAGCUGAAAGCCAAAAGAAUGCUCAUUUACCAAACUAGUGAGUUAGUUCUGAUCUCUGAUUGUACUUCAAAUUUGAGGUCUCCCUAUAUUUCCAACUCUGUAAUGGUCCUUCUAAUCCUUUCUCCCCUCUUCCUUUACUCCUCCUUCACACGUCACAGAUAUUUUCACUAUGGACUACUAAGUUAUUCUGCUUGAUUUCCUCUUGUCAAAUGGACCGAGUAUGAUGAGCCAAUAAAUACUCUCAUUGGUUUCUUCUUUUCCCUGCAGAAAACAAAUUUGCUGUUGGAAGUGGGGCUAAUAUAAUGUGCAUAUGCUACUAUGAGCAAGAAAACAACUGUUAUUAGCUCCUAUUUCUAGGUUUUUCCUCUUCAUUGUUUUUUUUUUUUGCACAAUCUUAUGUUGGCUUGGACGUGUAUUCUUCUGAUGUGUUUUUUAGUAAGUCAUCACUGACUGAUCAAGGAUUUAUGGGUAAUAUGUUUUCCAAACUUGGGGGACAAGUUAGUUGUGUUCACUGCAUUUGAACUCUUUCUUUUAUGGUGAAAGCUUUUAAAUUCGGGUAUGAGCAUUGGCCAAGCAUUGUUUGCUUGAAGUUGACCUAGGUCGUUUCUGAGUAUGCGAUACUCAUGGAUGAGCCUUAUAUAGUUGUGGAAGCACAUAUAAAUGGCAAACCACAGAAGUUCACGGUACAGGACUUUGAAGAGGAACAAAUAGUAUUCUGGCAGGGUUGAUGCUGUUGUACUGCUCAUUUCUUCAGUAGAGUUUGGAGUGCAAACUCCAAUGGAGACUUCAAAGCAGUGCUAAUGCUACAUUUAUGAAUCAAAUAUCCCUCCUAAUACUUGCUUCUUCUUUAAAAACUAAACUGUUCUGGCUAAAUCUAAAUAAAGUUAACCUAGCAAGUAUAUGCCUUGAUUGUUGUUGUCAAUGGUUGGCAGGCUUCUUGAUUGUAGACAAAUCUCGCACUAGUUUUUCUCCUUGUCAGUACCUCGACGUAGUGUAUUCUCGAUAUCCUACUCUAUUCUUUCUAGUUGAUGAUCUUUUCGAAUUAAAAUGUUUUUCAACCAAUCUUUAUGGAUUUUUUUUACAUAGAAUCCUACGUAUUUUAUCUGUCUUCUGCACCUUGCACCAUUUCAGUUUGAGAUCAAGCCCAUACCUUUCACAGUCUAAUUUUAAACCAGGAAUUUGUUUCAUGUCAACAGAUGUGGUUCAUUGCCUCAUCAUGUCAUCAAGCAUUGAAAACUAGGCAUUGAGAUUCUUCUGAUUUUGGAUUUUCUGUUUGUCUUGUUCUACUAUAAUUUCUUUGAACUGUAAAAUCUCUUUAUAUGCUUCUGCCUUUAUAGUCUCUGCAUAUCAGUAGAUUGUAUUAAUGAUAACUAUAACAUCUGCUUUCUUGUAGUGGUUGCAUUCUGUCCGAACAAUAGUGAAGUUCACAUUUACAAACUUUCAGAAGACAAGUGGGAGCAAGCGCAUAUUCUCCAAAAGGUCAUUAUUUCAGUACUUAAUCCUUAAAGAGUAAUUGACUUUGAAUUCAAAUAACUGAAAUACAGGGAUGACAAUAUACUAAACAGUAUUUAUGUGAGCACAGAAAUAAAAGCUACAUACUAUAUUUACCGAAAGAUAAGCAAAACUGCAUUUGUGUUGAGCUCUCUGAUUUCUUGUCUUCAGUGUGGUAAUUCUCCUGCCAUGUUUGUUUUUCUCCAAAACUAAAGAAAUAGGACCUGAAGACAAUCUAUUUUAGUUUUCCCACUUUCCUAUUGCUUGUCUCUUCUACUGUUCUUUUCUCUCUCCAGUUUAUGGUAUUGAUGACUUCUUUCUCCACAAUGUCAACUGUCAUUUCUAAACAGUGAUUUGAUGACCACAUAUGAUCUGCAAGCUGGAGUUCUAAGUUCAGCUCCACAUUGUCUUUUUUCCCCUUGGAUGUCAAGGAAAUGAACUAGUGAAUGAUGAUGCACCUUUGAAAUUUGAUGUUGCUUGUUUUUUUCUUGCUAACAAGGCUUAUCUCAUUGACCAACAGAUUUUCGGCAUUUAAUGAAAGAUUCUAGCAUGCACCUCACUGAUGUUUCAUUGCCUUGAACAUAUUAUAAGUACAUGAUGAUGGUUCAUUUUGUUCUUAUCUUUGCUUGAGA